rnacentral:lncRNA from 1 species
AUGGGUGAAGUGGCUUUGGCUGAAUCUGGGGUUGAUCUGCCUGCAAAACCAGGGUGGCCCUACAUCCUGCCCUCCUUUCUCUCCUCCACCUGUGCCCUGUCUGGUGUGAAGGGUGCCAAGGACUUCACGGCAGCAAAGACGUGUUCACAGCUCUCUGGGCCAUCACAGAGCUCGGACAGGGCAUGUCACAGGAUGGGCCCUCAGCUGCGAUCCCAGUGUUGCCCUGGCAUGGGCGAGUGUGGCCUGGCAUUGCUGGAGAUCCGUGCCCUUCCUGCUCUCUGCCUGGCAGCUGCUGUUGUUAUCUCCAUUGCCAUGGCAAUGCCAGCCUGGCUCCCACGGCGUGUCCGCCUGUGCCUCCGCCAGGCAGACGCGGUCCCACGCCGGGCUGGAGCCCCGCUCCCACCACAGCUCACCCAGCUGAACGGCCACACCACGGACAGGGGGGUUAACACAACCCCAAAAUGCUGUGGGGAUGGAGAUGGGCAUGUCCCCUCCCCCAGGAGGUGAUAUCUGGGUGGGAAGCAGGGGGAGAAGGAGAGUCUGCACCUGGAACAUCUCCCAGCCCUGCCCUGCUGUGUCCAGCCGGGUGCCUUCCACCACAGCAGGACCCCUGUGCCUCACAGCCACCCUGGGCUCAGCCAUAGCCCCCCAGUGCUGGUACCAGCCCGUGGCCCCAAAAGUUGUAUUGAUCAGCACCCAGCUGCACCGAUAUUAAAGUGUUUGCCAGCAGCUGCUGAUUUAACAAAUCCUCCUGUCUGCUUAUUUAUGCCAUCUUCCUGCCUCCCACCUGGACCUUCCUGAUGCUUUGGGAAUUUUGCAAACGUUUUAAAGGCAGCAUUUCAAAGUCCACCAGGCAGCUAGCAAGGAGCAGGUCACUGGAAAGGGUGAGGAGAGGCAGAAAAGAUCCUCCACCCUGCAAGGCAGCUGCUGCUCUCACCCUCAGCCAUCCUUGCAUGCUCCCUGCACUCUCCCACUGCAGUUCCUUGUGUUCUGUACACCCACCCUGGCCCCAGCCCCAAGGCUGGAUGCAGGGGUUUGAAUUAAUGGUGAGGAGAAGUCCAAAGCAGCGCUUCCCAUCCGCUGGUUGCCUUUUCCUGGCUGUGGAGGCAAGAUCUGGGCCCAGGUCCCUGUUGGAUUGCCAGCCUCAAAGCAGGAGAGCAAAGUGCAAAUGGAAAAGCA